UUCACUUCCAAUCUUCAUUCUCUAACCGUCCGCCUCCAACCAUCCAAUUUCAAACCCUAAUUUCUCAUCCAGAACAACAAUCAAUCCCAAAAAUGUUGAGAGACGCUGCUAAGAGAAUCACAUGGUGAGGAUUACCUCCGACACGGUGGUCUGCACCGGCGGCGAACCGGUUUUAUCACGAGAGGGUUGUGGACCACUACAAUAAUCCCCGUAACGUUGGUGCGUUUGACAAGAAUCGGUGUUAGAAUUAUAACAGAACUCGCAUAAAUCUGAUGAAUCGGUUUGACAAGAAUCGGUUUGACAAGAUCUGAUGAGCACACAAGUGAGAUUUGUGUUAUCAUUUGACAUGUUACGAGUUUUUCAAGCAAAGUACAAAGAAAUCUGAUGUAUCUUUAUUUUUGUUUAUUUGUAUCCUUUAUAUCUUUGCUGUUACUUAAUGUUUGAUCUGGUUGGUUUGAUUCUGAAUGGUUUAUUUUUGGUUUUGGUUGGUUUGAAUUUGAAUGGUUUAUUUUUGGUUUUGCAUUGCAAUUUGUAAGAACCAGGGAUUUGGGGUCGUCUGAUUCGAUUAGUCUAUUUGUUAUUCAUUGUUUUAAGGAUUUUUUGAUCAUUUAUGUUAGUUAGCGUUAGCUGUAUUUUAAUGUCUCGUGCGGCUUGUAGGUUUGAUUACCAUCCCUUUGUAACUCAAACUUCGGUGAAAUGAAAGAUUAAUUAAGGGUGAGGUUUUAUAUUGAGA